GAUGAACGCUGGCGGCGUGCCUAAUACAUGCAAGUCGAGCGAACGGACGAGAAGCUUGCUUCUCUGAUGUUAGCGGCGGACGGGUGAGUAACACGUGGAUAACCUACCUAUAAGACUGGGAUAACUUCGGGAAACCGGAGCUAAUACCGGAUAAUAUUUUGAACCGCAUGGUUCAAAAGUGAAAGACGGUCUUGCUGUCACUUAUAGAUGGAUCCGCGCUGCAUUAGCUAGUUGGUAAGGUAACGGCUUACCAAGGCAACGAUGCAUAGCCGACCUGAGAGGGGGGUCGGCCACACUGGAACUGAGACAGGGUCCAGACUCCUACGGGAGGCAGCAGUAGGGAAUCUUCCGCAAUGGGCGAAAGCCUGACGGAGCAACGCCGCGUGAGUGAUGAAGGUCUUCGGACCGUAAAACUCUGUUAUUAGGGAAGAACAUAUGUGUAAGUAACUGUGCACAUCUUGACGGUACCUAAUCAGAAAGCCACGGCUAACUACGUG
rnacentral:rRNA from 1 species